CUAAUACUUUCUUCUCUCUAAUUACAGCCUCUGUACCAGCCUUCCCUUUCGUUUCUGCAGUCAGUCAAGCAGGGAAGCCUUAUCUGAUCUGCAUAUGAUAUUCAAAAAGGGCCUGCUGGAAGAUCCAAGUCCGGUCUGCACUCGUGAAGCACCUGCUACGCAGGAUGAGCAAACCUAUUAAACACGGAAUAGAGACUGAACCCAAAACUCGAAACUGAUGGUGUUUUCCGAAAUGGCCACGUACCAGCUGCAGUGCUGUUGGUUCACACAGAAUGGAAGAAUCUGUAUUUUGGUACCUGAAUAGAAACUGGUCAUCUUGGGCUUCUGAGUUUUUUGUUCCCUGUGUUAUAAAUAACUCUUAAUCAGGACAUGGCUUACAGAAAAGCAAGGAGUGAGAAGCUGGAAACAGAGCUCUUUUGGCUUCAGCUAGUGCUAUUAAAAGCCUGGGUGUUUGGAAAUGAACAUUUGGACUGUGCAUUGUAUCAUCGUUCUUCCUUGUAGCCAGUCUCUCUCCUCCCCUCUUGGAAUAAUUUACUUUUUGUUUUGUUUGUUUGUUUUUUUCAUCCAGGCCCCUCACUUGAAGCAAUGCUGAAUCCCACUUUAAAGAACUCACAGGGGUCUCCAAGUGGUGGUGGGGGGGGGGGGCAGCUGCUUGUGAAAGGCACAGAGCCUCCAAGCAGAUGUUGCUGCUUCUCCAGCAAUAUGCAUUAAUAUCAGGAAAUGUAUUCCCUUCCUGGCUUCCUCCUUACAAGCAACUGUUAGUGAGUAAGAUGCCUUUGCUUUGUGUUCUGGUCAGUUUGCUAAUCUGAGCUGGUUAGAUGACAAACACGUGCAGUACUGCAUACAGGAGUAAUAUAACCCAGCUGGGUAUGAUGCACUUUUCAGCGAAGCAUGGCUCAGUCUGAAACCUUAUUUGUCUUGUAUUUUAAUGCGGUGUCACCAAGAUAAUUACAAAGCAGAUAGUGUCCUGCUUGGCUUGAGGUGAGCGAACAUUAACAGUUUUUAUUAACCAAACCCAAGAGGUGAAUGCUGACAGAAUGGAAGCUGAAUGGAGUCAAUCAACACGCAUGGAGAAGAUGGGUGUGGCAGUGAGCGACAUGCAGCCUGUUGCUGAAGGCCUGGAUGAAAUCAGCAUCAUUCAGGGGUUGAUACUCUGCAAAAGCUUCAUAGACUCUGUACAAUAUAAGGCGGCUGUGCAGAUGGAAGUUGUUUUAUAUGUACCACAUAAUAAUUUUCUUAGUAAAACAAGCAGCCUCUUGUUGUUCCUUCAUGAAAUAAAAAUGGGCUGGUGCCUGUUUUCCAUUUUUGACAACUCAUAGUUUAUCUGUACGUUCCUUGGAG